rnacentral:antisense_RNA from 1 species
AUAAUGAAUUGGAGGGGAGCGGUGGGGCACGAUUCAGUCCACUGCACACGUUCUCCUCUCCAGACCUCUCACUGGCAAGUCCUUUCAUCUCAAUUUCAGUUCUGUGAGGCGGUCCUACUAUUGUCUAUCACCCUGUUUGAUUUUUUUGUAGCCUCAUCAUUUAUUCAUUACAGUUUCUUAAGUUCUUUUUUUUAGGGAGCUUGUCAUUGCCUAGAAGAGUGCUGGGCACACAAUAGUGAUACUGAAUAUACAACUAAAAUCAUGUAAUAUAGCACAUGAGAUUCUUAAUGCUAAAAUUAAGACUUUUUAACAUGAAAAAUGCUCUUAAGGGCAGAAAUGAAGCAAAUUUCAGGCAAGAUGGCAGACAAGACUGAAACGGAUCCAUCAACUGCUACAGACUUAAAAAACAAAAUAUGCCCAAUGCAAAGCUGAGCUCAGGAAAUCCUCAGAUGCUAGAGAUAAAGACGAAAUCCAGUUGCAGAAGUGAGUUCCAGGUGAUGCCAGGAGACCCCAGGAAGUAUCAGAUUAGGUCACAAAACUAGGAAUAAGGUUUUAAUGUCUUCAGAAAAACAGAGCAUUUGGUGAGAGAAGGGAACUAAUCCGAGACUCCCGCAUACAACCAGGACGCUUGAAGAGCUGCCUCACCUGUGAAAAAGAAACUGGAAAAAUCUCUUCAAAUCUGUUUGUGGAAACAGAAAGACAGCCUGGUGUUUGACAAAGCUCUCGGUGGGACAAACCUCCUCUGAGAAAUGGAAACCUAGGAAAUCAAAAGCCCAGAAAUUAAGGGAAAGCAUUAGUCUUAGAUAAUGAAAAGGAAACCCUUGGGGACCAGGCAAAAGCAAAUGUAAAAACAUGAACACUUGCAUAGUCUCGUACAUGGGACUCACAGAAAACGCAACCCCUAAUAUAGAUGAGCUCGCAAUGAAAAAUUAUCCACCACUGUGGCAAUGCAGUCACCAAAAGGAAGACUCAACAGACCAAUGAGCAUAGACAUGAGCUGUGGAGUAUGAUCAGCUCGUCGAAAGAAUGAAUCAAUGACACUCUGUCUUCGUGGAGAGCAGCCUGGGUGUGGAAUCAGGCACCCCCGGGUUCAAAGCCAUCACUGUGAUUGAAGAACGGAAGUCAUUCGUGAAGGACACAGCACACACAGCCCAGAGAGCUCGCAGGUUAAAACUGGGCAUGGAGCAAUGUCUGCCAGCCAUUCAGGGGACUUCAAAAUAGGUCAGAAUACAUUUCCAGAAAGUGACACCAUCUUUUUGGGUUUGGGUAUAAUAAUAAAUCUAGGGGAUAAGAAC